rnacentral:tRNA from 1 species
GGUUUCAUGGUGUAGUAGGUUAUCACGUGACCUUAACAUGGUCAAGGUCUCCAGUUCGAUCCUGGAUGAAAUCA